GGGGGGGGGGGGGGGGGUGCGGGGGGGGGGGGGGUGGGGGGGGGGGGGGCGGCGUGGGGGGUACGGGAGUGGGGGACGGGUGGGUAAGACGUGGGUGGUCUGCCCUGCACUUCGGGGUGGGCCUGGGGGACUGGGUCUAAUACCGGCUAGGGGCCAUUUGUAGUGUGAUGGUUGGAAAGUUUUUUCGGUGUAGGAUGAGCUCGCGGCCUAUCAGCUUGUUGGUGGGGUAAUGGCCUACCAAGGCGGCGACGGGUAGCCGGCCUGAGAGGGUGGACGGCCACAUUGGGACUGAGAUACGGCCCAGACACCUACGGGAGGCAGCAGUGGGGAAGAUUGCACAAUGGGCGCAAGCCUGAUGCAGCGACGCCGCGGGGGGGAUGACGGCCUUCGGGUUGUAAACGCCGUUCGCUAGGGACGAAGCUUUUUGUGACGGUACCUAGAUAAGAAGCACCGGCUAACUACGUG
rnacentral:rRNA from 1 species